GGCAGAAUGACGCGAAGAUGGUCAAGAAGAUAACGUUUAUUGUCUUGUUCAUGCUGCUGACAUGUCUUCUGUUAUGUACAAGCAAACAAGCCCCCUAAUUAAUAGGUAUUUAAACAUGGUAAUUUACAAAGACAGUAAAGAGUGUGGUAUUGGGAAAUGACUGCAGGUUGGACCCUAUGGCCACUUGCACCACAGCUCUGGCACAAAAGACAAUCUCUGAAUAGGAAAUAUGUUGACAUUCAAAUAAUUGUUGUGCUAACAGGGACACUGGAAGUCAGUAAGAGUUAGGCAAAUCUGUAAAUCUGAUUUUUUAAAUCUGGAGCCAAACUUGGUACAUGGACAUGGGACCCCAUCCUGAGGACGCACAAUAUAUUUGGAGUCUUUUGACCAUUAUGGGUGCACUAUAAUCACAGGAAGUAGGCUCAUAUCUCAGCAACCUUUUCAUGUAUCGAAACCAAACUUGAUUCAUGGAUUGGGGACACCAUCCUGAGGACGCACAAUACGUUUAGUGACCGUUGAACAGAAGGGGGCGCUGUAGUCACAGGAAGUAGGCUCAUAUUUCAGCAAUGGUUUUACGUAUAGCUGCAAGGCACCCAUUGUGAUUCUAACUUUUCUUAUUAUUAAUAACAUUACAUAUCUUUCCUCUGCCAUGGGAGUCUAUGGCAGCCUAUAGAAUUGUACAGUAAAAAGUUGUGAAAGUUAGCAACUCAGGACACUGACCACUUUCACCAAGUUAUGCUGACGCGUGCCAACUUGUAACAUCAACAUAAUUGAUCCGACCACAAUAAAGAAUUUUAUCAAAAACUCUAAAAAGUCUUGACUGGUCACAAAGUUUGUCCAAUUUUCACGAAAU